AUGACUUCACUUUGGUGAACAUGUGAAAAAUGAAUCAACUUCGUUUUCAGUUAACCUAGGAUUAUACAGGCAAUAAAGCAUGAUUAUGGAUUUAACAUGUUAAUUCCCAGAGGAUUUAAUAGCAGUGCUGUGAAAUACAUGACCAAUUGCUAACCCAUCUGACAAGCACACAGACAGCACUAACCAAGAUUAAAUCACUGGGCUCACAUGUGGAUGCAAUAUAUCUCUCGAGAUGAGAUGGCAUUAAGUUUUCAUCAAGGAGACGAUCCAGUUGUCUGGUUAUGGGAUGAAGCAUGAUGAUGGGAACAGAGGAGGACACAAUCUGAGAUGUUGAGCUGACACCUUAUUUUAGAAGAUGUCUUUAAGGAAAAUAACCUUUAACUUAUUUUAAUGAAUUUAAGGUCUGCCCCCAUGUAUUGUUGCUGUCAGGACUUACCAGUAGCUUGUAGCAUAUAGCAAAGAAUUCACACCCCUUAAGACAGUUUGUUCUUUCCAAAACAGAUUGCCAACAUACUCGAUUCUUCAUUGCCCUCUUGUAGUUCAACAUCUCUGUAGGUUCCUCCAAUGUGACCUCAAUUAGAAUCCAAAAUAACGAUUUUUAAAGUAAUAAAUUGUAUCAUGUAAAUAUUAAGGAGGGUGGAAACGGUACUUGGGAGAACCUGACUCAGUAAUUGCAGUUUGCAAACAGCAUUUGCAAACAAAGGUUAUGCAUACAACCAGCCCAUUUCAUUGCUACAUUACCUUUGACUAUUUUUUAUUAUAAGAUCAGAGUUAUACCAGACAGUAUAUCCCCAAAUGUCCGAACUAUCAUCUGCCCCCUUGAUGGAAAAAACGUCGCUGAUGCCUGACUAAGAAUGUUUUGUAAAUUCUAACUAAAUUGCAACGUGUUCUUUUCAAGAAUCCUUUAUUUUGCCUGCUUAUGUAAUCUCUUUUCUCUUUCAGUUUUCUAAAUCCUCACAGCCAAUGAAUGCUCUUACUACUUCCAAAGCAUGGUGAUAAUUAUAUAUGAAAGCAUGUGUUCUAACACAUAGCAGGACCUCAAAAGCAAGACUGCACUGCUGACGUGCCAGUGUUUUGCUAUUGUUUUACAUGAGAAACAGUAGAGUGUUUGUAAAGAUCACUGCCAUUGCUCUCAUUAUUUGGCCUCAGCUCUGCUGUUAUUAUCCACAUGAGCUCAGGCAAAUCCCUAAAGUCCUCUGUGCCUCAGUUUCUUUUUCUGUAAAACAGGGGUCAUGCCUGUAUACUCACAGUAUAAGAAUCCUGGCAAAAUUAAAAGAGAUACUGUUUGGGAGAUCAUUUGUCAACACAAAAGAGUUCCUUCCCUCUCCCCCUUGCCUCUGAGAGGGUAGCUCCCCAUCAGGAAUCUCCUGACCCUGUUGUAUCAAAUCUCUACAAGACUGGGCACAUCCUCUCUCACUGAGGCCAGACAAGGCAGCCCUCUGCUACUUAUGUGCAUGUAUGCUCUUUGGUUGGUGGUUCAGUCUCUGGGAGCUCCCAGGCAUCCAGAAAGGCGACCUAUGCCUCAAGGAGCAACUGCACCUAGAGCAUUGGAGAGUCAAGGACACAGAGAAAAACAUCUUUGAACCUAGGAGGCUUCGGCUGACCCACAGAGUCACAGAAGAUGCUGUGUGAAUUGAAGCUUGUGAAUUGAAAAUCAGUCACCUCCCUCCUCUCAGCUAACACAGAUGAACCCAUUAGCAUCAAAAGGACAAUGGAGAGUGGAUUUGGGAGUGAGGAAUUGGUUUUUAUCCUUACAAAUAAACAGAAGUGACCCCUUAGAACCUUCACCUCCAUGGUUAUGUUAGCAUUCUGGAUUAUGAAUGGAAAUGUGUUCUCAGCAGUGGAGAAGACUGGAUGUUACAGGUCCUCACUAUGUCUAGGUUAGAUUUGAAAAACUCAGUCAACCAUAAUAAGCUAUAAAAACACAAAACGUUUUCAGUUAGACCUGCACUUCUCUCUCAGCUCUGCUGUUUGGGAUGAUAUCUCUCUGAAACGCAUCCUCCCUCGUUGAAAACGCAAGCAUAAUUAAAGCCACCUUAUGUGUGAUGGAGUAAAGUGACAGGUUUUGGAGGUGUGUUUGCUAUGAGGUAUGAGACACUGAUAAGUGAAAAUAUGUGACUGCAAGAAAGUAAGUUGUAUCAACUGUAACAUAAGGUCACCCAAAUGGAGAUUUCCACAGAGGCCUGUCAUCUCAUAAACAGACUCUAAGGUAAUCCAACAUUACCACUCUAUAGUCGUGAUAAGUUGCUUGCAUAAGACCAUACAGGUUAUCUAAGAUCUCUCUAAGGACUGCUUUCCUUGUUUGAAGGUGAUCAUCUAUUUGGGCCACUGCUCUUACACGCGUUCGCAACCGGCCAGGAAGAACGCAACAAACCGGAAUCUUCUGC